rnacentral:lncRNA from 1 species
UCUAAACUACUACAAGCAACCACAUACAUAAUAUUUGAUUACAUUUUAACCAAAUACAAGUAAACUAAAACUAUGACAUUCAUUUUACUUUCAUUCAUAAUUUCUUUACAACAUAAUCAUCCAACUCAAAAUAUCUGAUUGUUUACAACUUUUACAUCACUUGAUCAACAAAAUAAAAGUUGAUAUAUGAACAAAAGGGAAUGACUAUGUAUAUACUCCGGUGGCCACUAGCUAUGGCGCAAGACCCUUGCCUCGAUCCUCCGCCGCCCCGCUCGCGCUCGGAUCUGUAGGGUUAGUAGUGUGAGAACUAUAACAAAGUUUCCAGUGGGUUCG